GAAAGAUGAGAAAAAGAAGAAAGAUAAGAAAGGGAAGAAGGACAAGGAUAAAGAUUUAGAAGAGGAGGAAAAAGAGACAAGGGAAAUCAAAGAUAAAAGUUUGGGUAUUAAGGAAGAGCAAGAUAAGAAGCAUGUAAAGGAGGGCAAGCAGAAGGAUGAAGAGAAGAAAAAAGACAAGAAAGAAAAGAAAGAUAAAGAGAAAGAGAAAGAAAAAGAAAAGAAGGUCAAAGAUGAA
rnacentral:misc_RNA from 1 species